rnacentral:misc_RNA from 1 species
UUAACAUUAGAAAAAGAAAUUCAUUAAUUUUAAUCUCUAUUUAAUAAAUCUGCUUAAUAAAAGACAACUUAUACAAAAUCAACGCUACUACUAAAUUAUCAAAUUCAAAUUCUUCAUUUUAUGAAAUUAAAGUUCAACAAAUCUUUAUGAAAACACUUAUAAAAUUGAGUAAUUACAGAUAAUAUUUACCCUGCCAUGCCUAAAUGCGAGCCUUGUUGCAAAACAGAGAAAAACCUGUUUGCCAUACCAUGUUCUCCAUUCGUCCAACAAUUGCCCAAGUCCUUGUUUUUAUGGCAUUUCUUUGCUGCAAAUUUCUUUCUGCCUCCCUCGGACUUUGAAGGUUCGAGUAAGGGAGAGUUUGGUUGAGUAGUGCUUAAACACUCUAUGUGCCGAUUGUAUUAUUUUUCCUUGCUUGUUCAUAUGGAUCUACAGUCUCUCAUGGGAGGCUAGUGGUGAGAAGCUUCUGCAAUCUCCCAUGGGAGGGUAGUGGUGAGAAACUGCUGUAGAAAAUAGGUGCUGGUUAAACCGGGAAAUCCCUAGGGUUUCUUUCUUUUAGGACCUGGGCUUAGAAAAUGCUUGUAGCCAAUUUGUAUGGGCUGAACCCCUAUAACAUCAAUGAAAUUUCUGAUAAAAAGAAAACAAAAAAAAAAAAACAGAGAAAUUUGAACAUCAACUUCAAUUUGCCAAUCCAUCAACUGAUAAAGGAUUCUCAUAUCCAUCAUCUGAUAAAGGAUUCUCAACAAUCACCCCAUAAAUGGAACAAACAGAACAAAGUAUCUAGAGAUUUGACUUUGAUGGCCCUCAGGCAUGGGAAUUAUGCAGGAUGGGGCUUAAAAUCUAAUAAUACUUUCCGCAAAAUAUGACAAGAAUCUUCCAGGGCAUUGUAGAAUCAUGAUGUCACCCAAUACACACCAAAAAUUUAUCAUAUUUCAUUCAAUUUUGUCUGGGUUCAUACUUAUACCUAUACCAAUCAUUUUGAUGAUACCUGUCUCAAUUCUAAGAUUCACGAACAAGAAAAUCAAGCAGAAUCCACCUAUAUUUUCAAUUUUCCUUCACCCAACCCAAGAUCUCAUGCAGCUGCUUCUCCUCCUGGUGGAGUCAAGUUCCUAACAUGAAGUUGAUUCCAGCCAAUUAUGAUGAUUAUUCUUAAGCGCCACAUAAUGCACAACUUCAUUUUAACAUUUAAGCCAAGCAGUCACUUCUUCUUUAUCUCCUAAGAUUGCUUUGCUGUACCAAUAACUUCCACUUUAAAAGUAAAUGGUUUCUCAUGAAUCAUAAACAUAUAAUAUCUCACCUGGUUAAUACCUUAGACAAGUUCCAAUCUUUUAUCCGUGCCAUUCACCUUUCAUACCUAGUUAGCACCAGGAACAGGAACACUACAAUAUUGUUCGACAAGUGAUGUACUGGAAGUUAAUUUUUCACCUUGAUAAUUCAGCAACUAGGAAAUUUGACUUAAUAAUUCUAAAAGCUUAACAAAGAUUUAGAAUUAUAUUGAUACAUUAUGAAAUAUUGCACAACUGAUAUUACAAAUAGGGUUUAACAGCUUAACUACAAGUAUACUUAUAUGGUGUUACCAGAACCACACCUGCCCAUAUAAUGGAUUCCCCACUAAAGCAUUUUCAAAUAAUCAGAGUCCCACAUCCUACAAUGGACAGGAUUUUUUUUUUUUUUAAAGGAGAUUAGGGAAAUGGAGACUUAAACUUGAGUUUGUUAAAGAAGUGAUAUGCUUUUAGCCAACUGGAUUAAGCCAGACUAAGCAUCAUAGACAGAUUUAACUUCACCUUUAGUGCCACAUUUGAAAUAACACCAAUGGAAGUAUUACAAAAUAUUUGCAAGCCUAAAACCAAGCAAUCCAGAAAACCAGCAUUUUACAACAUUUUAACUAUCCAAAUCCCACAAUAAGCUGAGAUUCCCCAACAAAAACUUGUGCCAGAAUCAACACGUGUAGUCAAUCAAACAAAAAGAGAAAGCGAUAGAGAUAAGAGGGAAAAAACCAAAAAACUCUCUAAGAGAAAUUCCACUAGCACUACCUAUAAAGCCAAUAGAAGUAAAGAACACCAACUCCUAAAGAUUAACUACCUAUUAACUCAAACAGGCCAUUUAAGUUACAAAUCACUGCCUAAUUUCCCAGCAUUUUUCAGUGAUCAUAACAUAUAAUAGCCAACAAAUCCAUAACGGUAAUAUCAAAGUGAAACAACAAACUUGGCACAUGAAAAUAUUUUGCUGAUGAAAAAUAGGAUCACAAAUAUAUCAGACAAUCUGACUCUGACGUGCACAUAUUUCAAAAAUAGAGUAUCAAGGAAGGAGAGUAAAAUGAAUGAUGGAGAUAACAGGCAUUCCAAUUUGAUAGUACACAUUUUCUGUCACUUGUAUUGAACUUUCAUAUUGAACAAAGCAUUUUGGUUAUUAGAACACAUGAGCGCCAAGACGAUUAGUUCCACAAGAGACUACAACUGCGUGGACAGUCCAAAAACAGUUAACAUAAUCCCAGCAUUCAUUAAUCGAAUUUCAUUGCUGAGAGAAAGAUAACCUGGUAAAAAACAAAUUCUACGCUUAGUUGAAAAUAUCAAAGUAACUCAUAUGCCAAAACCAAAAACUGCCCGUAUCCUGUGGAAAAUAAGAUCCCGCCAUCCUCUCUCUGUGUUCUCCACCACAGUUGCAUUCCCAUAUCUGUCUUCCUCAGGAAUGUCAGUGUGCAAAAGCUGGAUAACAGUAAGCCCAGGUUCAGGUUCAUCGAAAGUAAGUCUUACCGUUGAAACAAUUCCAUCAGGCCAGCUCCCGAACCUCCACUUCUGCACUAUUAUUUUACCUUCCUGCAACUCCACAUUGGUCCCUGUCACCGACCCAUCAAAAAUACUAAACUCCCCUCCUAAUUCUUUACUUAUUCUCGCAUUACUCUGAGUAAAACCUUUCCAUCUAUUCUCAUCCAUCAAUAUCUCAUACAUAUCCCUAGCUCUGCAACUAAACUUCUCCGUCAUACUUAUAGUUUUAAAUCCUUUAUUUGUUUCUUUCUUAAACCCUUUACUCGAUUCUUUCUUCACCUCCUUCUUCUCUCCGGCUGCAGGGGUCGCCGAAUCAGCCUCAGCCUCCUUUACCGCGGUAGAUUGCCCCUUGGGCGCGACCUUCUUUGCUUCCAAUUCAUCCUUAGCAGGUCCACCCUUGGCCAUACUUUGAACAUAAAUCCUGAUUUUCUCUUCAAUCACCGGUUUUCCUUUAGCCACCAUUGCUUCCUUCAAUCUCUUUCCAACUGGGCCCUCAUCCUUGAUGGUCACCUUAAUUUCCGGAUCCUCGUCAGCAUUCUCGUCCGAAAUAUACGGGAUCUCAACGGAUCCAUCCACCUUAAGCAAAGAUUUUCCAUCAGAAUCCUUAGCUUCACCUUCCCAAGAAAGGGAGACAUUAAGCUCAUACCCUGGAAUGUUUUUACCCUUUCGAACGUUGACGUAGGCCUCGCCAUCGACCUUCUCGAUCUUCUUGAUCUUGAUGAAAAGAUUUCCUUCGCCAUCAAGGAUAACGAGAUUAGAGAGAAGAUUGGAGAGGAGGCUCCGCGACCAUUCCAAGCAAUCGGUCUCGGCCCAAUGCCAAUUGUGGACAUUGGCGCCGUCUGGUCUAUCCUCUACGAUCCAGCGCUUGUCCCCUUCUCCGUACUUGGCCAUGAACGAGAGGAAUUUAGAAAUUAAAAGUGGUAGAUUAAGAGAUAAAGAUUGAAGCUUUGGAUCGAGAGAGUUGAGAACAGAUUGCGAGGGGGAAGAGGGGAAAGGGAAAUAUAAAGGGGAAGAAGCUGCUUUGUGGGAGUCUGGAGGGUCCUUCCAAAGUUAGAAGGCUCUAGAA